rnacentral:tRNA from 1 species
GCGCGGCGAUAGCCGAGGUUCAUGCGGCGCUUCGCGAAGCUGGUGCGGUGGCCGAGCAGCCCCGCCAUGGCGUGCCACUCGCCCGCCGCAUCCC